rnacentral:rRNA from 1 species
AUGGAUCUAGUCGUAGACGACGAGCUUCUGGUACUCUUCGCCGGCGAUGGCUUCCAUCAUGAUGGCCUCAGGGUUCACCACGCCGUCGUUCUUCAGAAAGAUUUUGAGGAAGUUCUUGGAGAAGCCGCUCACCAUGGCCACCCCCGGCUGGGUCGACGUCACCGGCGUCGACUUCGAGUCGCGCAGGUUCCAGAAGAUGAUCUGGGGCACCACGUCGCCGUAGCCAGCGUCCCUGAACUUCUUGCAGAUCACCUCGUAGUCAGUCUCCCACGGAACAGACUCCCGCCGGCUGUAGUAGUAGGCGUAGGCGCUCCCCGACGCCAUAUUGAACUCCAUGUCGCUGUACACGAACACGGUCCUGAUCAUCUUCUCCGGCGCCAGACUCACCUCCACUGCCGUGCGGAGGAUCUGGUCGAACACCCCCUGGAAGUUGGUGCUCCCGCCCCAGUGCAUGUGCCGCACGAAGUCCAUCUUCUGGCGGAGGGUCUUGCCCUUGAUCAGGUGAAUCUCCGGGUUCUCGCUGAAGGUGAUCACCUUGCCGGCCCACGGCUCCUCGCUGAGCUCCGAGGUGAGCACGCCCAGCGCGAUGCACACCUCCAUCGGGGUGCCGCUCAUGCUCGCGGACACGUCGCAGACCGAGAUGCAGUUGCGCAGCGACCCUUUGGAACGGAGGUCGUCCACCAUGCGGCGCCACUGCAGCUCCGACACAUUGUCAUCCUGGCCGCGGUAGGCGGCCGCGGCGAUCUCGUGCGGCAGGAGCGCGCCCGCCGCGAUCUUGGCCUUGCCAGCCUCCACGUCCUCCAGGUACUUGUCGAAGCGCUCCUCGUCGUGCUUCUUGAAGAGGAACUUGUAGCGCCGCAUGGCCACCGAGGCGACGCGGGUGUAGGGCAGCUCCGACCACCGCUGCGCGCUCAUGUACACCUCCGGGAGCUCCAGCACCUUGCGCAGCGGCACGAGCACCUUGCGGCGGAGGCGGUGUAG